rnacentral:rRNA from 1 species
UACGUAGGGUGCGAGCGUUGUCCGGAUUUAUUGGGCGUAAAGAGCGUGUAGGCGGCCGUACAGGUCAGCUGUGAAAACUCGAGGCUCAACCUCGAGACGUCGGUUGAAACCGUACGGCUAGAGUCCGGAAGAGGAGAGUGGAAUUCCCGGUGUAGCGGUGAAAUGCGCAGAUAUCGGGAAGAACACCCGUGGCGAAGGCGGCUCUCUGGGACGGUACUGACGCUGAGACGCGAAAGCGUGGGGAGCGAACAGG